rnacentral:lncRNA from 1 species
CCAUCCCUUCCUCCCCCACGUCUCCGCGUCGCUCGUCAUCCCACGCCGGGCGCCACCCUCUCUCCAUCCCGGAGAAGGUUUUGGGCUCCGCGGUCCGGAGCCCUCCCGUGGGCGCAGCGCUGCAACCGCCGGCGGGAGCGGACCCGAGCUGGCACCUACCUCCCACCUCCUCCUCCAGGCACGGCCGGGGUCAAAGGCUCGCCCGCCUCCUCCAACGGCCCCAACGGUCGCGCCGAGCCUCUCACUGAGAAGCGGGGCGCCGAGCCAGGUGCCGGCGCUCACCUCCGCACCCGCCCUCCGGCUCCCCGCCGGCGCCCGCCCCAGGCCCCGCCGGCGCCCCCGGCCCUCUGCGGGCGGGCGCGUCACAAUCCCCGUCGCGGAGGUGGGGGGGGGGCUCUCACCGUCACGGCCCCCGAGAGCGGCGGGGAGGCACCGCUCGCUGUCCUAGACCGGCUCGCGCAGCCCCAAGGGCCCGCACAGGCGCGGCGGCACGCAGCGCCUCGCGCCCGCGGCCCCGCCUCGGCCUCGGGCUCCCGCCUUCCCCGCCCCCGGCCCGGCUCCGCUCCGCCCCUCGCGGCCACCCCCUGCCUCGGCAGGUUCGCAAGGUUCCCACCCCGCCCCCGCGCCGCCGGCGCCGCAGGCCCAGCCUUUUCCCAUUGGCUCCGCCAGUUGCUAGGCGAUGAACAACCGCGGCCUGCAUUGGCCCCCGGAGUCUCCUCCCCCCCUCCAAAAAAACCUAGAGAAAAGAAAACCUCAUCCCUAGAGCCGGAGCGGGAUGCGGGCGCAGCUGCGGCUGCGGCACCUGUUACGCCCUGUGAUUCACCCGGCCGGGCCCUACUCCCCGCCCCCUCCUUGCGCCCGCAGAGCUGGGGCCCCCGGGCUCCGUGGGGGGAGCGGGUCGUGGUUGCUUUAAGGCGCGUGUUCCGAGCCCCAGUGAGCCCCAACACCCACCCUAGAAGCAAAAGUGAAGCUCCCAGAAGACCCACGUGCGCUGGCAAAAGUGGGGAAAUAAACCAAACAACACCCAGAAUUAGGUCAGGCCCAGGGGAAGGGAGGUUCAAGCGUUGGGAAUUGUGGAUGCACACAACCCAACCCGGGGGAAGUUAG